rnacentral:lncRNA from 1 species
UGUCUCCCUUCAGAGCUUCAAACCCAUUGGUGUUUGCAAUAACCAGUAUAAAAUCAUCACUAAGAUUAUCGCCAACAAAAUCAAACCUUUCUUGGCUAAUGUCAUUGGCCCCACUCAAGCUAGUUUCCUAGCCAAUAGGAGACCUUUGGAUAAUGCAAUCAUGAUCCAGGAGUACAUAACUCACUUCACCAAAAUUAAAGGAAAGAUGGGCAACAUGAUCAUUAAAAUUGAUCUGGAAAAAGCCUUCGAUCGGCUUAAAAGGUCUUUCAUUAGACAAGCCUUCCAUUUCUUUAACUUUCCUCCAAAGCUUUCCAACCUAAUCAUGUCAUGUAUCUCCACUUCCUCUAUCUUUAUUUUUACUAAUAAAAUAUAAUAUUCUUACAAAAUAUAAAUGAGAGCCAUUAUAAAGCAGUUUCAUAUCAAAUCAUUUGAAAACACAUGGGCAUAAUGUAAUAAUUUUUCAACAACAAUGCAAUGCAGUUGAGCUAGGUGGAAUACCCUACAAUAUCACAUUUACACCAACUGUCAAACCUCGAUUGCCGCCGAUAUUAGAGUAUAAGUGAGGGAAAGACACACAAGAUCACAGAGCAGGGUGUCUCGAUCCAAUAAAGUAUGGUAGUGCACAAGAUCACAAAGCAGGGCUCCUAACCAGAGUCCCAAAUUGGGAUAAUAUAUAUCAGGUACUCAAGAUCACAAAGUAUGGUACCAAGUUCCCAUGUCAGCAAACACGGUUUCCAGCGAUGAGCCCUUACACUCAAACGUCUUCUUCGGGCAUCCACAUAUCUCAUGUAAAAUCAACGCAUUCAAACUUCAUUUAAUUCAAUCACAUAUCAUAUUCUGUGGGGUAUCUUCAUACCCGACUUGCAAGUCAUCAGUAUCACAUCAUUCUUUCAUCCAACCAUUAUAUUCAACAUAUUUCAACAUAAACAACCCUCUCUUUAUAAGUAAAAAUCGUAUCCAAUCAUAACAAUUUUCAAAACAUUUCAUGUCAUGCUUUUUAAGAUGAUUUCAAAUAAUUUACAUCAUAUGAAAAUUGAAAACAAAAAUCAUAUCAAGAGAGGGAUUUCCACAUAAUUCAUGCUCUCAAGUUAUCAUCUUUCCAAAACACAUACAUAUAUAUUAUAAUAUAUCAAGUCACUUCGGGAAUAGGCCUAAAGACCAAAUCAAUAUCCUAGGAACGUUUAAAACAUGAAUAUAUUCAUAAUUUCAAAACCUCCAUUAUUAAAACAUGAAUUUUUAAGCCCAUGAGAUUUUUAGGAUAACCCCACGUACCUCUAUAUGCGGAAAUAAUAGGGGCUUCGUGAAGCCUACAUUGCGGGGAUUCCAAAUCUUCAAUUUAUUUUUAAAAUCCACAGUUGAAUCUUGAGCCACUUGGUUUUUAGGUUGAAACCCUUGAGAGUGUUCUUGAGGAUUAUUUGUGAAAAUAUCAAUAUUAUGAUCAAUGGGGAGUGUAAUCUCGUGUUUAAGUUGAUAGGGUUUUGGAAAAAGACCACAAUGCCCUUAAUGAGACGAAAUAGUGCACUGAAAUUUGGCUGGGUACGAUAGGCAGGGCGGUGCCCUGCUUAGACCCUGAGAGAACCCAGGGCGGCGGCGCCUUGCUUUCACCGGGGGAGAGAUCAGGGCGGCGCCUCGCUUAGAGCGGGAGUGAAUCCUGGGCGACGCCCCUCAAUAGCCUUUUACUACUAUUUUUCCAACCCAAACACAACCUUAAGCUCGUCUAAAAAUUCUGAAACUUACCUGAGAUGUACUAUGAGCUUGCCCGAACGUAACGCAACUUAAAAAUUGAAAAUCGGAAGUCGGUAAGGUCGAAAAUAAGAAUCCGAUGAUUGAAAGCUCAAAAUGUAACUAAGCCCUUUUGACACUUAGAAUAUUUUCAAGUUUCUUAUUCCAUGCACAUGCUAAUAAGAGACAACUCAUUGCACAAAUUUUUUUAUGGGGCGUUACAACCUAGACCAACAAAAGAUAUAGAAACAGGAAUAACCUCAUCCUUGAAAGGCUUGACAGGUGCUUUGCUAAUGAUAGUUGGAUCCAUUUAUACCCUGAGGCUUUGGUAACCUAUCUCCCUAGGACUCAUUCUGACCACUGCCUCCUCUUGAUUAAUCUCAUCAUCCACCACCCUAGAAGAGACAAACCUUUUAGAAUGGAGCCCAUGUGGUGCUCUCACCCCCAGUUCCCCUCCCUUAUAAACCAAGUCUUCCUAUCUGGAGGCAACCUCACUGACUCCAUUGAUUCUUUUAGAUCCAUGGUCCUCCCCUGGAACAAAAAAGUUUUCGAAAACAUUUUCACUAGAAAGAAAAGAAUCCUUGCAAGAAUUGCGGGUAUCCAAAAAAGUAGCCACUACCCUUCCAACUCUUUCCUUCAAAACCUUGAGACCACCCCUCAGAAAGAGUUUACUGACACCCUUAAACAAGAGCAUGAAUUCUAGAAACUCAAAUCAAGGAUUAACUGGCUCUCAGAAGGGGACGCUAACACUAGAUUCUUUCACACGGUUACCCUCAAUAGAAGAAGAAAGAAUAGAAUCAAUUCCUUGAAAUUGGACAAUGGUAGCAGGGUCACAAGCCCUGAGGAUAUAAACCAAACCAUCCUUUCUUUCUACAAGAACCUGUACUCCACUGGCCACACUUUCUCCCACUAUGCCUCCCAAAAAAAACCUUCUGUCAGGGGUUCAAUCCCUGAUCAUGCUCAUGACAUACUGGACAGUGUCCCUACUGUCAAUGAGAUCAAGAAAGUUGUGUUCAAUUUUAAACCUACUAAAGCUUCGGGACCUGAUGGCCUCCACCCCCUCUUCUUUCAAAAGUUCUGGGACAUCAUCUCCCUCAACUCCUCUCUUUUUGCAACAAAGUUUUCACUCAUAGCAAGAUGGAGGAGCAAGUUAACACAACCUACAUUUGUCUGAUUCCUAAGUGCUAGAAUCUUGUCUCCCUUCAGAGCUUCAAACCCAUUGGUGUUUGCAAUAACCAGUAUAAAAUCAUCACUAAGAUUAUCGCCAACAAAAUCAAACCUUUCUUGGCUAAUGUCAUUGGCCCCACUCAAGCUAGUUUCCUAGCCAAUAGGAGACCUUUGGAUAAUGCAAUCAUGAUCCAGGAGUACAUAACUCACUUCACCAAAAUUAAAGGAAAGAUGGGCAACAUGAUCAUUAAAAUUGAUCUGGAAAAAGCCUUCGAUCGGCUUAAAAGGUCUUUCAUUAGACAAGCCUUCCAUUUCUUUAACUUUCCUCCAAAGCUUUCCAACCUAAUCAUGUCAUGUAUCUCCACUUCCUCUAUCUUUAUUUUUACUAAUGGUUCCAACACUCUUUUCUUCCAACCUACCAGAGGAAUACGACAUGGAGAUCUAAUCUCUCCUUACCUCUUCAUCCUCACCAUGGAACUACUCUCUAGAAGGAUAAAUCAUGAGAUUGACAUUCUCAAUUGGACCCCCAUCUCCAUUAGCAGGAAAGGUUCCAAACUCUCCCAUCUAUUCUUCGCUGAUGACCUUACCCUCUUUGCCAAAGCCAACCAAAAGAACUGUGAAAUCAUCAAGAAGACCCUUGACUCCUUUAGUGCUUUUUUUGGCCAAAAAAUUAAUAGAAACAAAUCCGCGAUUCUCUUUUCCAAAAAUUGUUCCAUAGAUACUUGUAAUAACCUGGCUUCCAUCCUCAAUAUUCACCAUAAAGACAACUUUGGGAAAUACCUUGGUUUUCCUAUCUUUCAAAAAACACUUACUAAUGGAGACUUCCAGUUCAUCAUUGAUAAUAUGAAAGUUAAUUAGCUGGCUGGAAGACACAUUUUCUUAACCAGGUUGGCAGAACCACUCUCAAUAGAGCCUCCCUGAAUAGCAUCCCUACCCAUGUCAUGUAAUACAUUCAACUACCCCAAAAAAUUACCCAUCAAAUUGACAAAAUCCAAAGGGACUUUAUUUGGGGGACUACUGAUUAGAAGAAAAAGAUGCACAUGAUUAAUUGGGAUUUCAUUACACAACCCAAACGCCUUGGUGGUUUGGGAAUCCAGAAAACUUGUACAAAAAUGACACCAUGCACUGCGCUCUAGACUGGAGACUUACCAAGAACCCUCACUCCCUUUGGUUUGGGAUUCUGCUAGGUAAAUACAACUUCACCACUCAGAAAUGGAGAACUUCCAGAACCUGGAAAUGUAUCCUUAAGGGGAAAGUAAUUUGCAGAGAAGCCUCUUUAUGGAUCAUUCAUAAGGGUGAGCAAGCUAAAUUCUGGACCGACAAAUGGCUUCCCAACACUGAUGCCCUUAACAACAUUAUCCAAGGGCCCUUCACAAGAAUCUUGACCAAGUCAUUGUCUCUCAAUUCUGGCGAAAUGGGACUUGGGACUUCUCCAUCCUCCCUUUUGACCUUCCCCAAAACACCAUCACUUCUAUCCAGUACGACUUCUUCCAAACCACUAAAAGCCCCACUGAUUACCCAAUUUGGGGUCUUACCAGUUCUGUCAUUUUUAAGAGCAAUAGUGUUUACAGGUUCAUCAAUUCAAAAUCCCUCCCUCCCAAGAAUCAAAAGAAUUUCUCUUGGCUUUGGAGCUUAAAUGUCCCAAACAAGAUAAAACACUUUCUUUGGAUGUUCAACCAUAAUAGACUCCCCUGUAACUCCAUUCUUGCUAGGAGAGGUAUCCCAACCUCUCCCAACUGUUACUACUGCAAGAACACCCAAGAGGAUGUGCCCCAUAUUUUUUGGAAUUGUCCCAAAGCUUCCCAGCUUUGGCCAAAUCUCUUCAAUCAGCUGCGUUGCAGUUCCCCCAACCUAGACGCCAUCAACACGAACAACAUACUGGAAACUGUUAAAAACUGGGUGCGCAACAAAACUUUUAAUAGUCACAUUGACCUUGAUAUCCUAUUUGCCUUCUGUCUGUGGGAAAUUUGGACUUGCAGAAAUGGAAAUACUUUUAAUAAUUGCAGCUCAUCUCCCUUUUUUCAAAGUGCUUAUGCUUCUGCUAUUGAAUACGCACCUAACAAAAUGCCACACGAACCAACAUCAUGAUCCUGUCAUCAUUCCAUUAAAUGGUACCCUCCUCCUCAAGGCUACUACAAGCUUAACACGGACGACUCAAGCUUGGGAAAUUCGGGUACUGGUGGCAUAGGUGGUGUAAUCAGAAAUAGCAAUGGUGAUUGGAUCCUAGGCAUCCAUAAGGGUUAUCCCAAUGCAACGAACAAUCGAAUGGAAAUUCUAGCACUGUUGGAGGGCCUUAAAAUAGCCGCUGACAACAAUCUCCUCCCUAUUGAAAUCAACAUUGACUCUCAACAGGUUAUUUAAAUGUUAAAACAUGGGAAUAUGCACUAUGAUCAUAUUAUUGAUCUUUGCAGGUCCAUGCUAAUAAGAAUGGAACGUCCAGCAGUGCAUCACUGUUUUAGGGAGCAAAACCGAGUAGCAGACGCACUUGCAAAGGAAGGAGCACGUCGGAAAAUUUUUGGAACCACUCAUAUUUUGGAAGUUCCUCCUGUGUUUGUGCUUGAAACUGUCUGGGCAGACAUUCUAGAAACUUGCUUUACUAGAUCUGUAAAAGUUAAUAGCACAAACUACAGUGCUGACCUUGUUAUUUCUGAGCCGGACUGAUGAGGCUAUCUUGUGGCAAACCUUUACUCUUUUAAUAUAACCUCCUCUUCAC